UACGGAGGGUGCGAGCGUUGUCCGGAAUCACUGGGCGUAAAGGGCGCGUAGGCGGCCUGGCAAGUCGAUGGUGAAAGCCCGAGGCUCAACUUCGGGUCGGCCACUGAUACUGCUGGGCUUGAGUCGACUAGAGGCAGAUGGAAUUCCGGGUGUAGCGGUGGAAUGCGUAGAGAUCCGGAAGAACACCGGUGGCGAAGGCGGUCUGCUGGGGUCGAACUGACGCUGAUGCGCGACAGCGUGGGGAGCAAACAGG
rnacentral:rRNA from 1 species